rnacentral:tRNA from 2 species
GCCCUCGUAGCCCAAUGGAAGAGGCGCGGUCGUGAGGCGGCCGUAGUUGCACGUUCGACUCGUGUCGAGGGCA